rnacentral:rRNA from 1 species
CAGCCGCCGCGGGAAUACGGAGGGGGCUAGCGUUGUUCGGGAUUACUGGGCGUAAAGAGCUCGUAGGCGGUUUGUCGCGUCUGCCGUGAAAGUCCGGGGCUCAACCCCGGAUCUGCGGUGGGUACGGGCAGACUAGAGUGAUGUAGGGGAGACUGGAAUUCCUGGUGUAGCGGUGAAAUGCGCAGAUAUCAGGAGGAACACCGAUGGCGAAGGCAGGUCUCUGGGCAUUAACUGACGCUGAGGAGCGAAAGCAUGGGGAGCGAACAGGAUUAGAUACCCCCGUAGUCCCUGUCUCUUAUAA